AACGAACGCUGGCGGCAGGCUUAACACAUGCAAGUCGAGCGCCCCGCAAGGGGAGCGGCAGACGGGUGAGUAACGCGUGGGAAUCUACCCAUCUCUACGGAAUAACGCAUGGAAACGUGUGCUAAUACCGUAUACGUCCUUCGGGAGAAAGAUUUAUCGGAGAUGGAUGAGUCCGCGUUGGAUUAGCUAGUUGGUGGGGUAAAGGCCUACCAAGGGGACGAUCCAUAGCUGGUCUGAGAGGAUUAUCAGCCACACUGGGACUGAGACACGGCCCAGACUCCUACUGGAGGCAGCAGUGGGGAAUAUUGGACAAUGGGCACAAGCCUGAUCCAGCCAUGCCGCGUGAGUGAUGAAGGCCCUAGGGUUGUAAAGCUCUUUCACCGGUGAAGAUAAUGACGGUAACCGGAGAAGAAGCCCCGGCUAACUUCGUGCCAGCCGCCGCUGUAACAC
rnacentral:rRNA from 1 species